UUUUCUUCUUGCAACUGAUUACACGUUUCAUACUGUUGUGGUCAGAAAACAUAUGUGGUGAUCUCAUCAAGGAAGCCUGGGGUCACGGUCUGCCCCAAAACUGCCUUCCUAAUUGGAGUAGAAGUCAUCAAUAUUUUUAGAUGUUACAAUACUGCAUAAUUCCAGCCAUUGGAUACUCUUCAUCUGUAGGAAGACAUUUCGUUGAGAAAUAAAAGAUAAACAGCUGUUUCCAUGAUAGUCACACUUCAGAAUCACUUAACCAAGAUAUUUGUGUGAGUUUACACAUUACCGAUGGUCUGAGAAGCAGAGGGGGAGAUUACAAGAAGACAUGGGAAAUAAUCAACACUGAACAUUUACAACCUAAAAGGAGACAUUGUAAGGUGUAAUUUUUCACUUGUUCACUGCUUUUGUGGGCUCCAAUCUUGCACCUUCUUUCUUGGCCCCAUUUAUCACUUCUAGAUGCUUUGCUUCCCCUCUUUCUAAGGACCUUUCCCUCAGGCCUCAUCCGCCACACACAUAACACUCACCACCACUCCUUAUAAAUAUUAAGUUAUACUGUGCAUCUUCUUCUACCUAUCCAAAGACUGACUAAUGGGCUCCGAUAAACAGCUAAAAGGCAGACCAUCUGUUUCAGUCCCACACUACAGAAGCACACACACAAAAAUCAGCACAGGCCUUGACAUUUUAAUGUCACACUUCUUUCUUCCUGUUCCUACUACUCUGGAGAGAAGAGAGCAAUAAAGAUAUUUAUUUCCACACUGCUAUGAAUUAUGCCAUUUACUCUGGAAAGCAAAGCAACUGCAGUCUAUUCUAGUUUAUUUUGCUCUUGCUUUAUUAUGCAAUCACAUGUAUACUUACUCAAAUUUCCUAUAACGAUGAGAUAUUACUUUUAUACGUAAGAAAAGAACUAAAACAUGUUAUUGCAAAAAGAAAUUAGUUUCAUUAAGACAUUUCUGGACAAGCUGUCUAUAUGAGCAGGCACAUAUCAUUAAGUGAUAUGAAACAUGAACAAUUGCAAUCAUGACACAGGAAUGGCUACAUGAUAUAUUGUCUGUCACAGAGUAAGAUGUUAUUACACAAGCUUGUUCUUGCUUAAGGGGACAACACAGAAACAAAAAGUUAUAUACAUAUGUAGGUAUGUAUGUCUGGAUGAAUGGAUGGAUACAUGUAUACAUGUGCAGACCAUCGACCAUAACAAUAGGUGUAAAGAAUACAUGCUAAACUCCUCAGAGAAAGGGAGGAGAUUCUUGACUGUAUAUACUCGUGUAUUAUUUGGAUUCUUAUAAUGAGCUUGAACUGUAAAUAUUAUCUUUGUAAUUAAAAAAUUUAAUGGAGGAGAAAAAGCUGACAUACACUUAGUGAUUACUAUAA